rnacentral:rRNA from 1 species
UAAAGCUCUUUUGUCAGGGAAGAAACGGUAGGGGCUAAUAUCUUUUGCUAAUGACGGUACCUGAAGAAUAAGCACCGGCUAACUACGUGCCAGCAGCCGCGGUAAUACGUAGGGUGCAAGCGUUAAUCGGAAUUACUGGGCGUAAAGCGUGCGCAGGCGGUUUUGUAAGUCUGACGUGAAAGCCCCGGGCUCAACCUGGGAAUUGCGUUGGAGACUGCAAGGCUUGAAUCUGGCAGAGGGGGGUAGAAUUCCACGUGUAGCAGUGAAAUGCGUAGAGAUGUGGAGGAACACCGAUGGCGAAGGCAGCCCCCUGGGUCAAGAUUGACGCUCAUGCACGAAAGCGUGGGGA